CGCCGGAACGAUGGGAAGGCAAGGGGGGGGGGGGCAGAUUUUCGUGAAAGGGCAUGCACUUUUGAACUGAUAUAUACUAAGAGAUGUUUGAAAAACAUCGGGAGUUGAACUUCGCCUAAUCAUGUUUUCUAUUUUAUAUUGGAUGAUAGGGGUGUGAGGGGGUUCUCAGCUAGGCGAUUGUGCUAUUCUCGAAGCUCGAUGACUGCAUUUCUUGCGUUUUCUGAAGCAAAUUCGUGAAAGAAUUGCACUAACAUUUCCGACAAUUCGCUAUUUCGCCAAGGCAAUCCUUUAAAUUGAAAGGGCACCUUUGCCCCCCCCCCCCCCCCCU